rnacentral:miRNA from 1 species
CAGUGUCCCCAUGGCUCCCAGUGUCCCCAAAUGUCUGUGUCCCCAUUUUUCCCAGUGUCACAGGGGGACACAAACAUUUGGGGACACUGGGAGCCAUGGGGACACU